CGGGCAGGGGGUGGGGUGUAAGGACCCCCACUCUACCGACCGCAGCUGGGCGGGGGUGGGGCUGGAGUCUGGAGCAGGGAGAGGACACGCUCUGGGUGCUGUGUUGGCCCGAGUCUUGGAGUCAGGGGUUUGUUACCUGGGGGAGCCGGAGGGGAGGGGGUGCUGUUCAGUGCUCCUGUGAAAGUUCAGCCACCUUAGCAGGUAAUUAAGGCCCGGCUGUACUCAGCCUGGGUGAGAUCCAUAAAGCGAUGAUGUGACAACCUUAAUUAGUGAGGCCUUUUCUUCAUAAAUACAUAUGGCACUUAAUGAGCAUCAGAAUGGAGCCUGGAUUUGCAGCCGCUGCUGGCCGUGAAUCUCGCGCACAGGAGGAAGCAAGGCGACUCUCCUGGGAAGCGCGUCUCCCUUCAGCAGCCCCGCCUGUGCCCGGGAUCCUGGGCCGGACGGCUCACUGCAGACUCCUGGCCUCGGGGUCCUGAGCUCCCGAGACCCGGCGCUCUCAUCUGCCAGAAAGUGAGGCAACAAGCGAGUGGAUCGGCAGGAGCCAGCUUGGCCCCUCUGGGUGCUGCCCGUGGUCAUUUCCUGCCGUCUCGCAGCAUGGGGACCUGGGGAGCAGGGUCGGUGUCACUCACGGUGGUGGGCAGUGAACGCCGGUCUGCUGAUGUCACUGGUGUUGGGGGUGAGGAGGCACAGUCCAGGCGUGAAGGCCUUUCUGGUGGCUGGCAUCUCGGCCCGGACCCCCUUCCGGCCAGGCCCAGCACUGCCCUGCCUGAAACCCCAGCCUCUCUGUGCGGGAGGCGCCCCAUACCUACGAGGGGCCGCCCGCCUGUCUUGCCUCCAGGAUCCCGGGCGAGCCUGGUAGUCUGUCCUCACGACAUCAGCUUCGACUAAACCGUGAACUUCCGUGCCAUCAGAGGUGCAGCCUGAUGGGGACCAUGUCCGGGAGCUGCCUCAUUCAUCAGCGGGUACAGCAAGGUGGCCCAUCCGUCCCGUGGAAAGACAGACAAGGCGCUCACAUGAGCUACAGCACGGAAGAGUCUUGAAAACGUGGUGCCGACAGGAGGAAAAUCAGCUUCUGGCGACUGUGAGAUGAACUCACGGGCAGGAUGUUCGCCCCCUACCUCCCCAGGAUGGACGGGACUGGGAGUCUCUGGAAUCAUCCACGCUGGAGUCGCCUCAGCCGGUGUCUGUCCGCCUUCGUCUCUGCUGGGCCUGCGGUGCCUGGAGAUGGCCUGACUUGUUAUCCUCAGCCCCAGCAUGGUCGCCCCAGCCCGAGAACUGCUGAGGGAGAGGACGGAUGUGAUCUUUCAGGCUCCCCAGUAGCUCUCCACACACACUUGGACAGGAAGGCCCUCAUUCCAUCACGGCUCUGGUUCCCGAGGCACAGGCAAGCUGUCGGUGCUGAGCCUCUGUUCAAAGGGUGGGUCUUGGUGGAGGGGGAGGGAGGAUUUCCCAGCUGGCAUCUGAUGGUGGCGCUGUUGGCUCACACCAGGCAGCGGGCCAGCCAGCUCUGCAGGCUCCUGGGCCGGGGCCAGUGAGGGAGGGGGGGAGGCUAGGGCAGCCGGUUGGGCAGUAAGUCCUCUCUUUUCCAGACAGCCCUGCAGGUUUCCUGGCCCGAGUCCACCACUGAGUUUUGUUGAGGUCUCUGGACUUCCUCAGUGGCAGAGAGGACGGUGGCUGGACAGUGGACAGGGGAGGGCCUGGAGACCAGGACAGGGGCAGGGAAGGAGCAGCUGGGCGGCCCUGGCUAGGGAGCCAGCGUCGCCGGCCUUGACCACCCCCCAGCCUCCUGGCUUUUCUGCAGCCUACGGUCUUCCUUGUGCUGGCUUCCUGGCACCCCGGGGAUAGCUUAAGACCUCUCCGUAGCUGGAAAGGGGGUCUGCAGUCAGCAGCUGAUGGGUGGGGAGGGCAGCGGAUCAGGUCAGCAGCUAUGGUUUGAUGGUUGGCCUAGCCCAGCUCUGGGUGGCCUGACAUUCACUCCCCAUUCCUGAGACGGUACCUGUGGUUGUCAGAAAAGCUCUGUUGGGGUAUUCUGCCUCUUGCCAGGAUCUUUCUGGGGCCCUAGAGGACCCCUCAGUCUUCCCUAGAAGCAAGACUGGGUACUCUGCUGGCUGCAUGCCUGGCAUCUUCCAGAUUUCUGGUGCAUGCUGGGAACUUUUGUAAGUCAGUGGGAAUUCAACAAAUAUGAAUGGAAGCCCACCCAUGACCCGGUACCGUGUUGGCACUCAGCUCUUUGUGGAAAGGCUGGGUGAUUAACUCCUCACUAGGAGCUGGGAUAUGGGGCUUGGGCCUGAUCACUGAUGCAGACUAGUAACCUUGGACCAGUGGGUUUUCUUUCUAGGCUUUGGUCUGGUCAUCUGGGAAGUGGAAGAGUUGAACACGAUUCAUUUCUUUUCUGCCUUGGGUUUCUGUUCCCCUUGUUAAGUUUCCUAAUUUUACCCGUUACCUUGGUCUCCUGCCUAACAUUUCCCCUAACUUCUGGUCAUCUUGGGCUAAGAGCCCACCCCUGUCUUGGGACCUUGUCUUUUCCCCUGCUUCAUUAACACCCUUACCACCACCGUCAUCAUCACGAUCAGCCAGGUUCUGCCCCAGGCCACCAAGUUUGCAUCACCAUCACAUCAUCAUCAUCGCCAUUAUCAUCACCACCACCGCCAUCAUCACGGUCAUCCCCAACAUCAACAUCAUGAUCACCAUGAUCACCAUGAUCACCAUCAUCACCACCAUAUCACCAUCAUCAUCACUAUUGGGCAGGUUCUUCCCCAGGCUACCACGUUUGCAUCCCCAUCAUCACCAUCACCAUCAUCACCAUCAUCACCAUCAUCCCCAUCAUCACCAUCAUCACCAUCAUGAUCAUCACCCUCUUCAACAUCAUCAUCAUCAUCAGCAGCAGCAGCAUCAUCACCAUCAUCACCAUCAUGAUCAUCACCCUCUUCAGCAUCAUCAUCAUCAU